rnacentral:rRNA from 1 species
ACGUAUGGUGCAAGCGUUAUCCGGAUUUACUGGGUGUAAAGGGAGCGCAGGCGGAAGGCUAAGUCUGAUGUGAAAGCCCGGGGCUCAACCCCGGUACUGCAUUGGAAACUGGUCAUCUAGAGUGUCGGAGGGGUAAGUGGAAUUCCUAGUGUAGCGGUGAAAUGCGUAGAUAUUAGGAGGAACACCAGUGGCGAAGGCGGCUUACUGGACGAUAACUGACGCUGAGGCUCGAAAGUGUGGGGAGCAAACAG